rnacentral:rRNA from 1 species
UACAGAGGAUGCAAGCGUUAUCCGGAAUGAUUGGGCGUAAAGCGUCUGUAGGUGGCUUUUUAAGUCCGCCGUCAAAUCCCAGGGCUCAACUCUGGACAGGCGGUGGAAACUACCAAGCUGGAGUACGGUAGGGGCAGAGGGAAUUUCCGGUGGAGCGGUGAAAUGCGCAGAUAUCAGGAGGAACACCCAUGGCGAAGGCAGUAGACUGGGCAUCUCCUGACGCUGAGGCGCGAAAGCGUGGGUAGCAAACAGG